AGAGUAUAAAGGCAAAAGCGCGCUUGACUGCGAGACAGACACGUCGAGCAGGUACGAAAGUAGGUCUUAGUGAUCCGGUGGUUCUGUAUGGAAGGGCCAUCGCUCAACGGAUAAAAGGUACUCCGGGGAUAACAGGCUGAUACCGCCCAAGAGUUCAUAUCGACGGCGGUGUUUGGCACCUCGAUGUCGGCUCAUCACAUCCUGGGGCUGAAGCCGGUCCCAAGGGUAUGGCUGUUCGCCAUUUAAAGUGGUACGCGAGCUGGGUUUAGAACGUCGUGAGACAGUUCGGUCCCUAUCUGCCGUGGACGUUUGAGAUUUGAGAGGGGCUGCUCCUAGUACGAGAGGACCGGAGUGGACGAACCUCUGGUGUUCCGGUUGUCACGCCAGUGGCAUUGCCGGGUAGCUAUGUUCGGAAAAGAUAACCGCUGAAAGCAUCUAAGCGGGAAACUUGCCUCAAGAUGAGAUCUCACUGGGAACUUGAUUCCCCUGAAGGGCCGUCGAAGACUACGACGUUGAUAGGCUGGGUGUGUAAGCGUUGUGAGGCGUUGAGCUAACCAGUACUAAUUGCCCGUGAGGCUUGACCAU
rnacentral:rRNA from 1 species